UACGUAGGGUGCAAGCGUUAAUCGGAAUUACUGGGCGUAAAGCGUACGCAGGCGGCUAUGUAAGACAGGUGUGAAAUCCCCGGGCCUAACCUGGGAACUGCAUUUGUGACUGCAUAGCUAGAGUCCGUCAGAGGGGGGUGGAAUUCCACGUGUAGCAGUGAAAUGCGUAGAUAUGUGGAGGAACACCGAUGGCGAAGGCAGCCUCCUGGGCCAAUACUGACGCUGAGGCACGAAAGCGUGGGCAGCAAACAGG
rnacentral:rRNA from 1 species